UGAAUUCAGAUGUAAGAAUACAAAUGGAAUAUGAAUUUUUAUCUGUAAUCAGAUUCGGAUGUUCCUUACAGUCAAAUUGGCAUCUGACUGCUAACCGGAUGUAAAAUUUCUUAUCAAACUUCAAAAGACCGAAUUCAAAUUCCAGGGGAAUAGCGAAUUGUCUCUUCACCAUUGACCUUCCUAGUUCUUGGCAGGCCCAUGCAAACAAGUGUCACAAAAAGGAGGAAGAAAAAGAAGAAGCCGAUAAGACUUACUUUUCUUCUUUCAGAAGAGAAAAGGAUAGCAGGUCGCCCGCUGGCACAGAAGAAUCUGUCCUAGAGAACCAGAAAAAAAGAAUUUGUUCUUCUUUAUGAAGAAGAGAAGAAUGCACCCAUAUUCCAUUUUCUUCGACCAUAGAUCAGGAUUAUUAAAGGUUGGAGAUGGAACGUGCAAAUUCAUGGCUUCAUUACUUGGGUUUCUGCCUGUCCGCAGAUCAUAUUUCUCGGCGCUUGAAAUCGUAGAUUCUAAAUGCUUUUAUGAAUGAAAGCAGAAAUUUGAAAAAGAAUACGCAUGAUAGCCUUUUUAUACUGUCAUGCUCUCUUCCCAACUCAAAUUUCCCGGCGAUCAGUCUUUCCAGAGAGGUACUGAGCUGAGAGCAUCAUAAUCCGUCCCUGUCCUCCACAGACAAGAGAGAUCUAGCCAGCCAUUCCUCUUCCUCUUCUGCCCACAUAAGAAUCCCUAUCCUGCCGCCCGCAUCCCUCAUCCUCCUCGUAUUCUUGCAAGCCAGUUGUUUCCUCCUCCAAUACACCAGUUUUGACAACUUGCAAUUGCCCUUAUCAGCAGUUGAUUGCAGCAGAAUCAACAGUUUCACAUCUGACCGGUGGAUUAGAAGUCUUUGAUCUAGGGUUUGAAAGGCUAUUUCCUGUGUAUGGCCGUCGACAAGGUUCUGUUGAUUAAUCGUAUGAGUUAACUGAGAUGCUAGUAAAUUUUUUCUUAGUUUGCUUGGAUUAACCCCUUGUCACCAUUAUCGCAUGGACACAAUCUCUUUGUAAUUUC